rnacentral:rRNA from 1 species
AAAUUAAGAUAGUGGCGAACGGGUGAGUAACGCGUAAGUAACCUACCUCUAAGUGGGGGAUAGCUUCGGGAAACUGAAGGUAAUACCGCAUGUGGUGGACCGACAUAUGUUGGUUCACUAAAGCCGUAAGGCGCUUGGUGAGGGGCUUGCGUCCGAUUAGCUAGUUGGUGGGGUAAUGGCCUACCAAGGCUUCGAUCGGUAGCUGGUCUGAGAGGAUGAUCAGCCACACUGGGACUGAGACACGGCCCAGACUCCUACGGGAGGCAGCAGCAAGGAAUCUUGGGCAAUGGGCGAAAGCCUGACCCAGCAACGCCGCGUGAGGGAUGAAGGCUUUCGGGUUGUAAACCUCUUUUCAUAGGGAAGAAUAAUGACGGUACCUGUGGAAUAAGCUUCGGCUAACUACGUGCCAGCAGCCGCGGUAAUACGUAGGAAGCAAGCGUUAUCCGGAUUUAUUGGGCGUAAAGUGAGCGUAGGUGGUCUUUCAAGUUGGAUGUGAAAUUUCCCGGCUUAACCGGGACGAGUCAUUCAAUACUGUUGGACUAGAGUACAGCAGGAGAAAACGGAAUUCCCGGUGUAGUGGUAAAAUGCGUAGAUAUCGGGAGGAACACCAGAGGCGAAGGCGGUUUUCUAGGUUGUCACUGACACUGAGGCUCGAAAGCGUGGGGAGCGAACAGAAUUAGAUACUCUGGUAGUCCACGCCUUAAACUAUGGACACUAGGUAUAGGGAGUAUCGACCCUCUCUGUGCCGAAGCUAACGCUUUAAGUGUCCCGCCUGGGGAGUACGGUCGCAAGGCUAAAACUCAAAGGAAUUGACGGGGGCCCGCACAAGCAGCGGAGCGUGUGGUUUAAUUCGAUGCUACACGAAGAACCUUACCAAGAUUUGACAUGCAUGUAGUAGUGAACUGAAAGGGGAACGACCUGUUAA